rnacentral:rRNA from 1 species
GAUGAACGCUGGCGGCGUGCCUAAUACAUGCAAGUCGAGCGAACAGACGAGGAGCUUGCUCCUCUGACGUUAGCGGCGGACGGGUGAGUAACACGUGGAUAACCUACCUAUAAGACUGGGAUAACUUCGGGAAACCGGAGCUAAUACCGGAUAAUAUAUUGAACCGCAUGGUUCAAUAGUGAAAGACGGUUUUGCUGUCACUUAUAGAUGGAUCCGCGCCGCAUUAGCUAGUUGGUAAGGUAACGGCUUACCAAGGCGACGAUGCGUAGCCGACCUGAGAGGGUGAUACGCCACACUGGAACUGAGACACGGUCCAGACUCCUACGGGAGGCAGCAGUAGGGAAUCUUCCGCAAUGGGCGAAAGGCUGACGGAGCAACGCCGCGUGAGUGAUGAAGGUCUUCGGAUCGGAAAACUCUGUUAUUAGGGAAGAACAAAUGUGUAAGUAACUAUGCACGUCUUGACGGUACCUAAUCAGAAAGCCACGGCUAACUACGUG